GGUAGGUUCUGAUACCAUUGUUAGAUUCCAGUGGUGCAGCAGAAGGAUUAGGUGUUUAAAAUUUUCAUUCAAAACACCCAAUACACUGAAAAUCCUAAUGCCCAAAAAUCCUUCACUAUAUCAAUCAAAGUAUAGUUAAAAUAAGUUUGGAUCAGAAGAAUACCUGUAGCGCUAAUCUAAUUUCUAUGAGGCAUCCAAGUGUCCACCCUCCAAUGGUGAUCCACAUAAAAAUUGAACCAAAGACAGUGCUUCUCCUUCACCUUGCUUCAAAAGUUCUAGUUCCUAAAACUUAACUAGCCACCAA
rnacentral:lncRNA from 1 species